UGAUAUUAAUUAGGAUUUAUGUAUCAGGAGAUUUUUUUAUACAGCUUUUCUCACAGCAUCUUAAAUAAGUGUGCAAAAAAGCUGAACGACAGUAUCAUUUGAAUGGAGCAAGUUGUAUGCUUUGCUGUUGUCACAGUUUUGUCAGUGUUGGGGAAAAUUGCAAAAAAUGUCUUCUGUUCAAAAUUUUAUCCACCCAGAAUUCCACUGCAGAUCAGUUUUGAAACUUGCUGCUCAAAGGAAUUUAAGAAAAAAUAUCCUAUGUAAAAUUUAAAAAAAAAUUGGUAGUGUUAACAGAUAGAAAUGUUGAUUGACUUUAUUUUUUUAAUGUAAGUCAUAACAUUUAGACAUGUAAAAAUAUAAGUGCUUUUUAAAUUGUAAAAUAGCUCCAUGAGACUGCUUAACUCUCUGUGCAUGACAUCUCCAUGCUGCUUAAGUACUGUUUGCUUUGUUAGUGAGAUGAAACAAGGGUUUGAGAAUGGAAGACAGUCGGGGUCUGGAGAAGGAAUUGUUAUCAGUGAACUUUGUUUCUUGGAAAAUGAGGCUCUUGGAGCUGGAAACUUUGGCUUUGGCAUACUGGAGUCCAUGUUUCACACAGAUGUGCAGGUCCUGUUCUGAUGCCCAGGAGUCACUGUGGGUUUCAGUGAGCUGUUUCAGCUUCCAUCCUGCUUGAAAUUGUGCACCUUCCUCCUGUCUGUGCUUGAAUAAUGAGGAGAGAACCACGGGCUGGAAAGCAGCUUAACUAAUCCAGUUUUGGACAGCUUAUGGCAAUUGCCUACCCGAGUAUGAAGUGUGAGUAAAGUGUCCUUACAGCACUCACAAGUCUUGUGGUUGGUGACCUGAUAUUGGGAGAUUUUAAUCUAACAUAGAACAAAUAUCAUCAUCAUCUUUCAUAUCUCUGAAAGCAGCACUGUGCUCUGUAUCUCCUUUGUUUGAUUCUUCCAGGCACUUUGAAUGUGUAUCUUAUGCCCUGUGUCCUGCUUUUGAAUUUGCAGUGCAGUAUCAUAACACUCCAUCUUUCAGUGAAAGAGCCAGCUGUAGGAUGAAGCCUAGAAAAAACCUCGGGGUUACACUCUGUCUGAACUGCUUUGGAGAUCAACCCAGCUGAAUUCUAAUUUAGAGAAGAAAGCUUCCCAUGACACAUUUGCACUGUAAACAUUUAGGGAGGUUUUUAAGAGUUGAUCUUGAAGUGUCCUUUAGGCUGAUUAUUCUGUUUUUAUGAAAAUUUUGCUUGUGAGAGCCCUUGAAUACACACUAGUGAGGAAAGAGGUGAAUAGAAGUAGACCACGGAAUUCUGAAUCUAUGCGUCAUAUAUCAGGAGACUAAACUUUGUAAUUAAAUAUUGAACAACUCUAUCCAAGCCUCUUCACAGCUCAGAUUUGAAGUUCAGUAGUGUGGUGCUAGCCCAUCUAGAAUCAUAUGUCCAUCAAAAAAUUCGAGGUCAAGAAGGCUCAGAUCUACCAAUCAGUUCCUUUUUGGUUGAGAAUGCUUUUAGAAGGCUCUUAUUUUUAGUGUCUGACAUUGAGGGGGUGGAGGUCCUUACAAAAAAGCAUCAGACCAAGCAACGAGGCUGCUUCCCUGAGGAAGGACACGAUGGUGUUUGGCUGCCAGAGUCUUGGACAGCUGCUGGCUGAGCAGUAUCUGAGUGCAGAUCAAUACAGGGGUAUUCCCUUUCUGUAUCUUUUUAUUGAGCACGGUUCUAUGGGCAGAAGUAAUUUCAGCAAAUCUAGGAGGAUUUGGAUUCUUUCUCUGCCCUUUGGCUUAAGGCUGUAGUUAUCUGUAAACUGAACUACCAUUGCAAAAAUCCAAAAUCACAAUCCUCUGUAACAGGUCACCAGCCAGCCUGUAAGGAAGUGGCCAUGUGUGAGAGGGACAGGUCUGUCACCUGGGCAGGCAGCAGGGAAGUCUCAUCGACUGCUUGGUUAAUGGCAGCAUCCUGAGCUGUCAGGCUCAUUAGGACACGCUGCUAAUUUGGUCAGGCAAGGGCUGCCAGGCUGCAUUGUGUGGGGUUAAGCAGCGUGAAUAGAGCCCGUAAGCAAAGCUGCUGGAAUCUGCUUUUGUGUUCCCUUUGGACGCCUGUCCUCUGCUUUUGGCUUCUUUUCCAGUUCAAAGUGGCCACGUGGAGUUUUGGCACAGUGAGUGCUGUCUGUAGAUGAGUUAUAGAUUGCAGAAGUGAUCUAACUUGUGCUGAGAGGAGUUAUCCAGCUUCUCAGCUGAUUUUGCAUACAUACACUUAGAGUGUCAAUUCACUACUUGGUGGGACUUAAUUAGAAAUGGAUUAAGCCUUUUUUCUUUAAAACCCAAUUUGAACUGCUAUAGGUAUUUUCCUUAUCAUCCCUGCUCACAUGUGCUAGGCAUUGCCUAUAUAGCAAUUAAAGUUUGCUUUUCUUUCUGCCAUCAAAAGAUAACCUUCCUCUCCUUCCCACAAGCCAUGGAGUCCUGCAGGUGGGUUUGCAGGUCUGACAGUUGUGACUCCACACGCACUCCAGUCCCUGGGAGAGCUGGGAGGUUGUGGACUGAGCCUUUGGACACGGGAGAUUGGUGGUGGGGAAAACCUGCCCUAUGCAGCCUGGCUUGGGUGAGUGUGCUGGCUCUGUGUGUGCCUGGCUGGAGUGAUUCCUGAUGGGAUUAUUGUGAAAGGUUGAGCAAGGAGAAGAGUUUGUUUUCAUCUCAUAAAGGGAGCAACCAGAUUGUCUCACUGCUGUCUUCCCCAGCAUGCGUCAGAAUAUUGUUAAUUUAGGAGUUGGAACCCAGUGGAGGAUUUUCUGAUUCUCUACCAUGUGUUUGACUUUGUAACUCCAAUUUCUCUCUCAUCCUUUGGGGAUGUUUUUCCCUGACAUCUUCAGCCUUACCAGAACUUUUUUGUUUGUUUGUUUCUGCCAGAGAAAACACUGAAAUUAAUAGUUUUUGGUAACCAUUUUGUACAUCUUCAUCUGGUUGAUCUGAUUAUGUUAAGGCUGAGUCGAAUACUCCAUUAAGAGUUUCAAAUGCUCCCAGAACUGAAGCAGGAAGAGGUUUCCCAGGAGACUGACUGUGUGUGCCUGCGUGGAGCAGACUUGGCCUGCACAAUUCCCUGGCAGAGAGCAGCACAGCUCCAGCACUUCUGUCACCAGAUACCUGGGGUGAUCCUGAGCUGGGAAUAGACACCUGCUGGGUCAGGCUUUUUUAUCACACUGGGGGCUGUCCUGCCCUCCAGAAACAAGGGGAAUUCAUGCCUCUGCCUGUUCAUGUACAGGGAUAUUGAUGUAAUGCAGUGCCCCAUUUUGGGAAGCAGUGUUUUUCCAAGGGUGGAAAAAUGCUUGCUCUGUGGGAGGGAAUACUUCUUGCAAACAAGCACUGAAUUUCUUCAUUUUACUUUACUAGGGAUUUCUGUUAGAAAAUAAGGCUGGAGGGGGGAAGUUUGGAAAGAUUCUGGGAAGCUUUGACUCAGAAAAGGGAGAAUGAUUCAUAUUAUUACUGUUAUUUAUUAAGGAGAACAGACCAUGAACCUGAUUUUUUACUUAUCUUUGGAAACUUAAAGCACUUAAUGCAGUGACCCCAAAAGAGUUUGUGGGUUUAAACCAAGGUCUUUCAACAUAAAAGCUAAAUCCCAGAUGUGGGAGCUGGCCCACAACAUUUUAAGAAGAUUUAUUCCUAUUACCUUCAUACUUGAUAAGUAUUUUAAAAUCCUCAGUUCAUCCCUUCUCUAUUUGUGAAACAGGGUGGUAAAUAAGUCUUGAAACUUGACCCUUUCUGUGCUGUGGCAAUGGUCAGUUUAUCUCUGGUUAUUGCUGGAGUCUCGAUGUAAGAGAUCAUUCAUUUGAGAGUCCAUCUAGUUUUGGUGGGGAGAAUUUGAUUACUGAGAAAAGCAAUUUUGUUUAGUAGCAACGGUUUUUCUCUUUUUAAUUAGGAAAUAAACAUUUGCUUCUCCAAAAAUAACUUUGUUGUAAAUAAUCAAUACCUAAGAUAAUCAAAGAUAUAUAUUAGAAAUAAGGUUUUAAGCUCCAUCUUAAGAUAAUACUGAGAACUGUAAUUCACAUCUGUGUUUGUAUUCUGCUACUAUGAAAAAAAGAUAAGUGCAACCUAAGCAAUGUUUUAAUUAUGUUUGGCAAUAAAAUUUAAAUAAUGAAAAAUCAAAACUUGACACAGUCUAUAUCCCACCUGUAAGUUCCUUCUUGUACUUCAGAAGGUAGUAUAACUUAAUUUUUUAGCUAAUUCCUUAGGUCAGUUCUUUAAAGAAUCAAUCAGACAAGGUUCUGUCUGUUUUAUGAAAAUGGAAAGGCACUUGACUGUGGCCACACAGUUUUAUCUUCUCCCCUUGUAAUAUCAUACUGUACACACCUAAUACUUUUGGGUAGGCUGUCAGUGGCUGAGUCAGAGAAGUUAGGAGAAAGUUUUAACUUAAAGAUUUUAACUUUUAGAGUUGGAGACUGGAACAAAUAUCUCCAUUAUCCUCCUGAAAAAUCCUGUUAGCAAAGCAGUCCCAUCAUAUCGAAGUUACUGGCUUGAAUGUUGCUUGUAUUGUCUGUUAAAGCAUAGCAACUUAAUCUCAGCAGAGUUUGAGAAGGCAGGCAAAGACUCUGCUAGCAAGAAAAAAUGGACAGAAAGGACAAGUUGUCACAGCAAGUAUAGAAACUUUGUUUUACUUCACUGGGAAGGCAGAAGUCCUCACCUUCCACAACUGUGAAUCAAACACUUCUGAGCAACUCAACACCCACCCCAGAAAGAUUUCCUUAUAGGCUCCAGAAAACUGACUUAUGUCAGUUGGAAUAAACACACUGUGCAAAGUUAAGAGGUCUCCAAGGCUUUGGAUAAUGAACAGAAAUCUUAAUUAUAUUCAACCCCAGAUAAGAAUUUAUCAGUAAUUACAGACAUUUAGUUGACAUGUAAGCCGUCCUGUGAGGUCACCAAAACACAUUUCUUGGAUCAUACCUAUUAGUGGAGUUGAGUUUUCUUUGCUUAAAGAUCCAAAGUAAUGUCAGCCAUAUGGCUGUAGAAGAGAUGUGAUGAGGCAUUGAAAAUCCAUCAGUAUUUUCUUCAUAAAGCUGCAAAAUAAACACAUUGAACUCUCCUGUAGUCAAUUUAUGCCUGAAAUCAUCUUGUCCUGUGUCCUGUCAGAGAAUCUGAGUAACUAUUGUGGUAGAAAUAAGAUCUUCUGUCAGGAUUGUAAAUACCUUCCAAAACUGAACUCAAACAGUGAGCCAUGCACUCAAGUACUGGAGUCUAUGGGUGACAUUACAGGGAGGGGCUGUAUAAGAACAAACAUAUGUCAAACACAUUGUAGAGGUUCCCUCCUACUGGCCUUGGACUUUGUAGCUCACUGAGGUUGCCAGAAUUAAACACGAUACACAUUUUGUGGCUUUUGUGUAGUAUUUCUUAAUGUAGUGCCUGAUGUACAAAUCCAAUACUUCAGCAAAAUACAGGCAUCUAUAGCUACACUACCAAGUGACCUGUCUCCUGUCCUUGAUUUGACCUUUGGAGAUCUUCUUGGCUAUCCUCAUCUCCAUCCCCAAAUUAGCAAUUUCUGCAUAAAGAAAAUGAGCAUCAAGAUCAUUCCCAGCAAGAAGUAUCAUCAGAAAAAGACCAAAAGCUCCAUUUCAUGGAAACAGUUUUGUGAGUCAACAUGCUAAAAUCCACAGUUCAGGCAGUGCAUCCCAAAGAUCAUUAUUAAGUAGUGUGGUUAAAAACUGUUUUCCUGGGAGCGAUUUUGCUGCUUGGGCAAAUCUCUCACAGGUGCAGCCUUUCAGGAAGUCCAGACCUAUAAACAAGCAAGCAAAAACAAUCCAAAGGACAGCAAUGAUCUGUUGCCUUACCAGCAGGGAAAAUCCAAGAGAAGACUUGGAAUUUCUGUGGAAGUAGAAUCUGGGGCGGGGUGGGGGGGGUGAAUCCAUAGUCUAUAAUGGCAUUUUUGGAAGUAGCCAUUUAUUGUGUACAAAAUUGUCCAGUCAAAAGAGCUGAUAAGUUUAAGGAACAAGCAGAAAUAGCCAAAGAAAAGCUCAGGCAACCCAGCCUGGUUAUUAAAUGGAAUGCAGCCCUAUCUUUGUAUAGUACAGAUGGGCCUGAGAAGGGAUUUGAGUCAUCUGCUAUGUAGCAUGAUUUACUUUGCCAUAGCCAAUUUCAUCUGCAGCAGCCAACAUUGAUUGUUCAAGUGGGGUAACUUCAGCAUUUGCAAUCUGAGAAUGCAGCCCCCUUUUUUUCUUUUUUUUUUCCUUUUUUUUUUUUUUUUUUAAAUUGAAGAUGAUCAAAAGAACUCAAAUUACAGGGACCUUCCUCACCUGAGAGGCAGAAUUUGGCAUGAGAAUUCAAGUACCAGCAAGAAGCAUCCAGAAGAGUCUGUGGAAGCAGCUACCUGGAGCAGCCCUCUCACUGUUUUCCACCUGCAGCCUCAUGAGCCUUGUCUCCAAAGAGCUGUGUUUGGCCUUUCUCCUGGCACUGAGGACUCUGCAUGUUGUUAAACAUUUUCCUGUCUGCUUUUGGCUCCACAAUGGAUUUCUCCUGAACCCUGAAAGCAGUGAAUUCUUUUGAAAGAAAAUGACCUGACUGAAGCAGAAUACAAUUUGAAGAGUCUCCCACAUGUUAGUGCUAUAUCCUGGAAGCUUCCCUUCAGGAUUAGUGGUUCCUCAGGUGCUUCAAUGGCCAGGGCUGGCAGUGCUCUCACAGGCAGAGCAACUCUCAGGUGGCCUUCUUGGCUCUGGUUUUGCCUCAGGUGCCCCUGGUUGACAAAAGCCAUCUCCCCAGCCAUCCCAGUGUACAAUGGACUCGUUUUCUUGUUUGUACUGGCAAACUUCAGCAUGGCAACUUUCAUGGACCCUGGAGUUUUCCCACGAGCAGACGAAGAUGAGGACAAAGACGACGACUUCCGCGCGCCGCUGUACAAGAACGUGGAGAUCAAAGGGAUCCAAGUACGGAUGAAGUGGUGUGCCACCUGCCACUUCUACCGCCCGCCCCGCUGCUCCCACUGCAGCGUCUGCGACAACUGCGUGGAGGAUUUUGACCAUCACUGCCCAUGGGUCAACAAUUGCAUAGGACGGAGGAACUACCGCUAUUUUUUUCUCUUCUUGCUGUCCUUAAGUACGCACAUGAUUGGAGUGUUCACCUUUGGGCUCAUCUUCGUACUAAACCAUAUGGAAAAGCUGGGAGCAGCUCAUACUACCAUUACAAUGGCUGUCAUGUGUGUGGCUGGGUUAUUCUUUAUCCCAGUCAUUGGUCUCACUGGCUUCCAUAUUGUUCUAGUGGCCCGAGGGCGCACAACAAAUGAACAGGUGACAGGGAAAUUCCGUGGUGGAGUGAAUCCUUUUACCCGAGGAUGCUGUGGAAACGUGGAACAUGUGCUCUGCAGCCCCUUGGCUCCCAGGUAUGUGGUUGAGCCAAAGAAAAAGCAAGCUGUGAGUGUGAAGCCUCCUUUCCUGAGACCUGAUUUGUCUGAGCGACAGAUCACAGUGAAGAUCAGUGACAAUGGCAUCCAAGCCAACCUCAACCGGAGCAAGUCUAAAAUCAGCCUGGAAGGUCUGGAGGAUAAGAGUAUGGAUGUGCAACCACCUCUCCCACCCAAAGGAGAUCCAAGCAAGUACUCUGAGCUAAAAGGGCAGCUGGGCACCAGUGAAGAAGGUGGCCUCUCACCCAAACUUAUCAGCCCUCCUACUCCUGCCAUGUACAAAUACCGACCAGCUUUCAGCAACAAUCCCAAAGUCCACUACCACGCCACGGCCGAGCAGAUCACCUUGCAGGAAGGACACAGUCAAGGGGCUCUGAUAGAAGAGGAUGGCAGGAGCCUCGAUUACCAGUCUGAACCCAGCUUGGACAUCCCCAGCUACCGGAAGAGCUCCCUCCACAAGACCUAUCAGUCUUCCCCACUCCAGAUAGAUUCCUUUGCCAUCAAUUCACGAUCCCUGAGCCUGAAAUCUGCUGGCAGGAGAGGGACAGACAAAGUGCCCCUUCAUCCAAUAAAGUCUGAAGGGGCGGCUUCCACCCCUUACAAAAGCAUCUUUUCUCCCAAUUCCCUGUCAAACAGAAAUGGGAGUCUUUCGUAUGACAGUUUGCUGAACCCCAUGUCUCCCUCGGGGAGGAAGUGCAUUGCCCAUUCUGCAGUCAGCUCUGUCGGGUACCACUCCCCAUAUUUGUCAGCCAAAAUGUGCCACCUCCGGGGCAGCGAGCUGCAGCGCCAGGCACCGCAGAGCUUCAGCCCGGUGCUGGGGAGCCCCGCCCCGCAUCAGCGAGACCCCUCCCCAGUGCGCUAUGACAACCUUUCCAAGACAAUUAUGGCAUCCAUCCAGGAAAGGAAAGAGAUGGAAGAGAGGGAGAAGCUCCUCCACUCGCACCCCGACUCGGUGUUUGCAGACUCGGGUGUCUAUGACACGCCCAGCUCCUACAGCCUUCAGCAAGUGAGCACGCUCUCGGAAGACCCGCGCAGCAUGGCCAUGAGAUACGGAUCCAGGGACAAUCUGAUGGCUGCCACCAGCUUUAGCACAAGGAACCCUAUACUGCAGUCCUCAGUGUCUUCACUCUCGAGUGCAAUGACAAGAGCACCAAGGACUUCCACAACCUCUCUGCAAGCUGAUUUAGCCAAUAAUAAUGUGCAGUCCCAUCAAGCACUACAGGGCAGGGUGAGCAAUGGCUCCUACAAAUCCCCAGGCCACCAAGUCCCAUCGUCCCCCACAGGGAUGCCUAGGUCACCCUCUUACGGAGGCCCAAAGGCUGUGUCGUUUGUAAACACUGUGGAAAUUACAGAGGUGCAAUCAGUGGGAGCACAGAGGGAUGACAUGCAGUUGAAGACACCUCACAGUAAAAUAAAUGGACAGCCAAAAGGAAUAGCCAGGUUGGGUUCAACAUCAAGUUCCCAGGGGACGCCUGUCAGCCCUGCUAGACACUCAAAUGUUAAGAAGGUGUCUGGAGUUGGUGGAACAACCUAUGAAAUUUCAGUGUAAAAUAAAAUGAAUUAAAAACAAAGAGCCAUCCACUCAGCCAGCCAUGAAGCUAGGAGCACUGUGAAGACUCAAAUAACAACAAAGAAGGAGCAGCAGCAGUCGGCCACUCUCCUUUUCUUGUUUUGGGUUUGUUCUGUUUUCAUCUUUCUCUUUUGGCCAAAAACCAGCUGCAGCCUUAUUCUUGAGGGAAUAAUAGAAUUGUACAGUCUAUCGACUCUUCCUGAACCGACAGGCGGGAACUGGCUACGACCUAAGACCACCACAGAGCGGAUUUCCUUCCUGCAAGAGAGCGCUAAAGCCAUCGUGCACGUGUCUGUCCAACCACUCUGUUGUGUCCCAGUCGUGCUGUGAAAAAGUACAGUCAGUCCAGGAUCAGUCAGUUUUCCCAUGCCCCUUCCCAGUUCUUCUGGCCAGCGAUGUGUCCAGCAGGAGCCAGAGGACCAAUGCUGUUUUCCUGCUGACAUAGCAAGUAGGGUCCCUACGCUGGGCAGGAGCUUCUCCUUGUCCCCUGGGCACUGCAGCUCAGGUUCCUCCUCCUGGGAAGGAGCAAGGCAAGGCCACUUGGGCUGCAGACACCACGUCGUCUUUAAAAGUCUCCCUGGUCCCAGAUGGGGGCAGGAGGAAGGAUAGCAACAGCUUCUCCCUGCCUGCCAUUGGCCUCCCUGUGUGUGAAGUUGUGUGUGUGCGUGCGCGUGUUUGUCUCCAUGGAAAAGGACCGCAACACCGGCGAGGAUCUGCCACUCUGACCUCCUGCUCCCUCUGGGUUUGAAAGGCUUCUCUGACCCAGAAACAAAACCAGGCAGAUAAGAAAGGAAAUGUUGGAUGGAAACGUAUUUUAACCAGCUGUCAGCUGCUUUCCCUGCACCCUCCUUACCUGUUGGAUUUAGGCAAUAACAGAGUUUACUGCCUUGCCCUGGUGCCGUCAGUGUAAUCCCGCAGCAAGGUUAUCAUGAGCUGUCGAAUUCACAGUGUGUGUAACUGAGCCAAGCGUGCAUCUAAAGGAUAUAAAUUUUCUGUCUGCCUAAUUACUAGCACAUUCCCUCUGGUCUUCAAUACUGUUAGACAAAGGAUUUUCAAUUUGGGUUUUCCCCCCUGGGGAACAACUUUUUAAAAUAAUAUCAAUCAAAUCUAUUUAACAUUCUGAGGUUUCUUUUUCCUGUCUCCAGAAAACUGCAUUUACUUUGUUGGAUUUAAAGACAACUUCACCGUAAAAAACAAGAAAGGGGUGCAUUACUUUUGCCAAAAAUAUGAGGACUCUGGCAAAACUAAUUUUGGGACAAAUGGAUUUUUAUUUCUCUGUUCCUUCUCUCCUUUUCCUUACCAUUCAGUUACCACCUCAGAAGUCAAAAGUACUGAGAUCUGGACCAAUGCUAACUAGCCAGAUCAUGUGUGCAAUUAAGAAUAUCCUGAGCGACUGUUGCCAAAGUCACUAAAAAUUAUUAUUUAUCACUGAGCCAGUCAGCAUACAAGACCUCGACUUCCCACCUGGUUCUCUUGGUGAAUAGUUUUGAUUAGAGAUCUAAAUCCAUCAUUUUUCAGGAUAUUUGAAAGGGGUUGAAAUCCUUUACAGUCCUUGACUAUAAUGGAAAGCUCUCCAGGUAUUUGGUAGCAAUUCAGAAUGUGUUUGUAACAUCUUAUUUGUUUUCAUGUAUGUUGAGGUUAAUUAUUCCAGAAGGCAAAUAUUGACCUUAAUUUUGCCUGGUUAAAAUUUAUAUUUUGAUUUGAUGAAUCUUGACAUCUGCUGCAAUACAUGGUUAUUAUGUCCCUUGUAUAUCACAUUAUUUUUUGGAGACAAAGGUUGAAGAGAACAUAAGAAAGUUAAUCAUCUCUCUGUGUAAUGCUCUAUGUUGCCUGAAGGGAGAAACAUGGAAAACAAUGCAUCUGCAAUAGGCUGAAGUUCUGAGGGAGUGAAGUAGAAAUCAGUGCAUUUUAUUGCCUUGAUGAUAUUUUAAAUGCCUGGUGUAGGGAUGCUGCAGAGCAGAGAAGCAAUAGUCUUUCUAUGCAGAUUUGCUCACUGACAUGUAGAGCACUGUCUUUAGUUGAAGGCACCAUGGUACCAGAAGGAUGCUGGCAAACUGCAUCAGGUACAGAUGGAGCAAUAUAUAUUAAAGAAUUGGAUGGGCUGGCUAUUGAGAAGAUUUAAAGGGCUAAAACACGGCACUGGCUAAGCAAUGAAGUGGAAAUUGAGUAUCAUAAUUUUACAAAUAUGUUACUUAAGAGUUGUAAAACCAAAGCUAAAUCAAAGGGUUGUCACUGGUAACCAAUGGUCUACAUUUAGAAUGGGGCAGAAAAGAUGGAGAGGAAGAGGCAGUGGAAUAGUCUUCCAAGCAGAGUUUUGGAUGAACUGUUUAGGACAGUCAAACUGUAUUUGGACAAGUAAUUUAAAAAUUUCUGAGAGGUGAGCCUGUAGGGACAAGGGGUAGACCAGAUGGCCUUACAGAUUUCUUCCAUCUUCAACUGUUAUUAAUCUGCAGUCUACCCUGAUGUUAACUCCUCAGGAAGAUGCAGUACUUUAAGGACUGGAAUUCACUCUGGUGCAUAGAGUAUCACAAGAAUUACUUGUUUUUAAAGUAUCAUGUAUGCCAUAUGUAAGCCCUGAAGAAGAGGGGGUAUGAAACACAUGGGAUUAGGGAGUGAGACAAGGGCACAUUUUAUCAUGUAUCUUUGAAUACGUACAUGAAAUUCAUGCAAGCAAGGCUGAAAAUUUGCACCAAUGUAAUAUUUGAGAUUUGCAUCCCAGUGAUGCUCCACUUUGAUCGUUCUUUCUCUUGCAUUUAUAAAUGAAAAAGCUACUGAGGAACUUGAAGGGCCAAAGAGCCUUUGAAGUUAACUACAUUAGUUCAUGAGAGAAUUUCUCAGUAAGACUAAACACAGUAUUGUGUGUAUAAAGCACUAAUAUCCAGGGUUAUUUUGACAUAGUUCACAAGGGGUAAGGGAGAAAAAAAGGAUGCACUGUGUCAGUACAAGUUCAGCAGUAAGGAUUAUGUAUUUUGUGAGUAGUUUUGCCCACAGUUGAGAGACAUUCAACUUUUUCAUAGGUUUACAAUGGUACCAAAGUCUUUUUUUCUUUUUUCCUUUUGAGGUUUGCAUUUAAUUCAGUGCACAUAGCCUGGAGUAAAUUAUUCAGAUUUUCUAAAAGAAUAAUCUAAGCAGAACUGUUAACAGGAGAUUGCAUGCAGCAAAUCCAGCCUCAUUUCCAUCCAAGGCACUGAACCUGCAGCUAUUUACUCAUAAAUGUAAGUGUCUGUUCCAUAGUUCCUGUUAUGGGACUGGGGACCUAUUUAUUAAAUCUAAUUUUUGAGCAGAAUCCAGCCCAUAUUAAAGUAUAGUUCUUUCAGCAGUUUACAGAUCACCAGUAAGGUUCUUCUGCCCAGAUACCCGUUUUUACAGACACUGCAGGCCAAAUCUUCAGCUGGUAUAAAUUGGUGUGGCUCCAUGAAAGCUCAUUUAAUUGAUGCUAAUUUAUAGUAGGUGGGGAUCAGCCAAGAAAAUCCAGCAUGAGUUAACACAUCCUGUAAAGUAGCUUCUUUAUUUUUGUCAUGCUUAUCACAUGUUUCAAAAGUCUUAAAUAUUUUCAACAUGUUUUUAUUUGUAGCUGUGGAUUGUAUUACUUAUUUAAAAAAGAGCAAUAGGUUUUUUUAGUUUACGCAUCAGUUUUCGUUGCAUAUUGCAUUUUAUUAUCUGUUUGUUCCCUGUUCAUACGCUCCCAUUUAGCCUCCAGGUUUUCAUUGUAGUACUUUUCUGCCUUGAAAAGUUGGAUCUCUAUAUCUUUAAUUGUAUAAUAUAUUGAGUAUUAUGGAAUUAAAUGUACCUUACUACAUGGGUGGGAGAGAGAGAAAAUAUUUUUACUUGAAGCCUUAAUAUUUUCUUUUUUUACUACUUUGUUUGUUGACCUCAUAGGAAAGUCUGAAUAGCAAAGACUUUGAAACUCCGGGCCAAAUACUGCACUGACAGACAACCAGCAUUUGGCCCCCAUGUCAAAACUGGAUGCAGACAUAACCUGAAGUGAACAAGGGAAAAAGCCUCAGGGUGGCAUAUUUUCCUGAAGAUCAUUAAUACAGUCUCAAAACAUGUCUGUAAGCAAGUACAUUAAAGAAGUCUUCAAGUCUUGAAUUUUUAAGGAAGGUGAUAGCAGGAACUACCCUAAAAUCUUUACAUCUGCUUUUUUUUUUUUUUUUUUUUUUUUUUUUUAAUUAAGCAAAACAAAUGUAUUUACUCAGUUUGGUUCAGCCAGCUCGGGGGGUUGCACAGAGCUCUGUGUUGGUGGCCAUGUGCAGCACAUGAGCUGUGGGGUGUUGCUGUUCUAAUUCUAACCAAGCGUGAAGUUGUGUCAGCUCGGCCCGUGAGCAUCCCUCCCGGGCCCUACAGUGGACGUUCCUCAGAUGAUGCCUACUCUCCUACAAGCCUAAUAUGGAAAUUGCAAUGUGGUUUUCUUUGGACUAUAUCUGUGGUCCAGACUAGAGAUAUAUAGAGAGAUAUAUAUAUAGUCAAUAUUUUUUUGUGUGUGUGGGAAAGAUGGGGUCAAGCUUUUCUGUCUCUGACAGUCUGGAAAGUUAAUGUCGAACCGUUUUUAUGGUCUGUAUUUCACCUGUUCUGCCACCUUGAAUUGUUGGAAUGUAUCCGUGCAGGCUUUGUGGAGCUCUGUCUGUAACCUUUUUUGUGGCUCUCGUAAUACAUAUAUAUUUUUUAAACCUUUGAGUCACUUCAGUAUUUUCAAGUGUCCAUUUCUGCCUCAGAUGCAUUCAUUUGCUGAGAUGAUUCACAGUGGGCUGCCCUUUCUCGCUUCUACUUGUGCCAAACCUGAACUGGAAGAGCAGAACUGGAAAGGCCAGUUCCAGUGCAAAGGACAAAACUGACAAAAUAUUAGAAGAAGUGACUGCAGGUUAAAUCUCAUUUUCAAGAUGCCUCUGGUAGAGUAGGAAAUACGGACAAGUUUAGGUUCACAUAUUGGAACAUAAUAAGGAGAGACAAAGGAAACUAUUUAUACAGGUGAAUGUGUCUUUUAAGAGAGAAUCAGUUUUACAAUAAAUAGAAUAUAUUAGAAAUAGAUUAGAAUUACUGUCAAAAUUGGUUUUGUUCAUCUUGUCACAAUAACCUGAAAUUAAAGUAAGGCUUAUUUCACAGCUGAUAUCUCUAACCCUGAAACAUUUUAAAAAUGUUUUGCUUAAACAUUUCAAAUUAUAUGAAGAAAUAUGAUCUACUUUUACAGAUUAAAACAGUACUGGAGAAGUGAUGGUACAUUUUACAGUGCCUUAUAUAUAUGUGUAUAUAUUUAUAUGUAUAUAUAUAAUGCCUUUAUGUCUAUAAUGUAUAUGUAACUGUGGACAUAGAGUUAAGUAAAACUAGUUACAGCUGUCUCUCUCUGAUGUAUUUUAAAUGGAACUGAUCUGUCUUGAUAGAAAAAAAAAAAAAGGUUGUAUCAGAAGCAAAAUACAAAACUGAAAUUACUUUAAGAAAAUGUAAGCAAAUAAAGUAGACUGGAAAGACU